rnacentral:rRNA from 1 species
UGCCAGCCGCCGCGGUAAUACGGAGGGUGCGAGCGUUAAUCGGAAUCACUGGGCGUAAAGCGUACGUAGGUGGCAAGGUCAGUCAGGCGUGAAAGCCCUCGGCUCAACCGUGGAAGUGCAUUUGAAACUGGGAGGCUUGAGUAUUGGAGGGGGUGGUGGAAUUCCCGGUGUAGAGGUGAAAUUCGUAGAUAUCGGGAGGAAUACCGGUGGCGAAGGCGACCACCUGGCCAAAUACUGACGCUGAGGUGCGAAAGCGUGGGGAGCAAACAGGAUUAGAUA